rnacentral:tRNA from 1 species
GCCAACGUAGCUCAGCUGGUUAGAGCAACGGUUUUGUAAACCGUAGGUCGUGAGUUCGAGUCUCACCGUUGGCU